GGGCAAGUCCCUUACGGUCAGCUCCCUUGGAAUCCCCCAGGGCGGGAACGCAGCAAGGGUACAUGGUUGUAGCGACGCGAUAAGGACAGCUUGCCCACC
rnacentral:SRP_RNA from 2 species